AGUGAACGCUGGCGGUAUGCCUAACACAUGCAAGUCGAACGGCAGCACAGUAAGAGCUUGCUCUUACGGGUGGCGAGUGGCGGACGGGUGAGGAAUACAUCGGAAUCUACUUUUUCGUGGGGGAUAACGUAGGGAAACUUACGCUAAUACCGCAUACGACCUACGGGUGAAAGCAGGGGAUCUUCGGACCUUGCGCGAUUGAAUGAGCCGAUGUCGGAUUAGCUAGUUGGCGGGGUAAAGGCGCGCCAAGGCGACGAUGCGUAGCUGGUCUGAGAGGAUGAUCAGCCACACUGGAACUGAGACACGGUCCAGACUCCUACGGGCGGCAGAAGUGGGGACUAUUGGACAAUGGGCGCAAGCCUGAUCCAGCCAUACCGCGUGGGUGCAGAAGGCCUUCGGGUUGUAAAGCCCUUUUGUUGGGAAAGAAAAGCAGCAGGUUAAUACCCCGCUGUUCUGACGGUACCCAAAGAAUAAGCACCGGCUAACUUCGUG
rnacentral:rRNA from 1 species